rnacentral:ncRNA from 1 species
GACCCGAAAGAUGGUGAACUAUGCUUGCGCAGCUCGAAGUCAGUGGAAACACUGAUGGAGGAGCGCAGCGUUUCUUUCUGACGUGCAAAUCGAUCGUCAAACGUGAGUAUAGGGGCGAAAGACUAAUCGAACCAUCUAGUAGCUGGUUCCCUCCGAAGUUUCCCUCAGGAUAGCUGGCACUCGGAAAAACAGUUUUAUCCGGUAAAGCGAAUGAUUAGAGGCAUUGGGGUCGAAACGACCUCGACCUAUUCUCAAACUUUAAAUGGGUAAGAUGCUCGUCUCGCUUAAUUGGAGGCGGGCUUCACCUCUCUAUAAACGUGAAUGUGAGUGCCCAGUGGGCCAUUUUUGGUAAGCAGAACUGGCGCUGUGGAUGAACCAAACGCGCGGUUAAGGCGCCCAAUGCGGACGCUCAUGAGACACCACAAAAGGUGUUGGUCGAUACUGACAGCAGGACGGUGGCCAUGGAAGUCGGAACCGCGCUAAGGAGUGUGUAACAACUCACCUGCCGAAUCAACCAGCCCUGAAAAUGGAUGGCGCUGGAGCGUCGGGCCUAUACCGUGCCGUUGGGGCGAAGCAGACAAAUAAUCUGUGUGGAUGUCCCAACGAGUAGGAGGGUCGCCGUGGUGAGCGCAGAAGGUGCGGCCGUGAGGCCGGCUGGAGCCGCCACGGGCGCAGAUCUUGGUGGUAGUAGCAAUUACUCAAGUGAGAACCUUGAGGACUGAAGUGGAGAAGGGUUCCAUGUGAACAGCAGUUGAACAUGGGUCAGGCGGUCCUAAGCGAUCGGUAACUCUCCGUACCUAGACGAGGGUGACAACUAUCACUGAUAAUACUUGUGAAGUUUAUAGCCCUCCGGAGCGAAAGGGAAUCGUGUUAAUAUUCACGACCCUUACCGUGGAGAUCGCCCCUUUCGGGGGGCAAGUGCGGUAACGCAAACGAACACAGAGACGUCGGCUGGAGCCCCGGAAGAGUUCUCUUUUCUUUGUAAGGAGCGUACCCCCUGGAAUCGGCUUGUCCGGAGAUAGGGGCGUGGCUUCCGUAAAGCAGCGCGCGGUCUUGCGCUGUCCGGUGCACUCUAGUCGGCCCUUGAAAAUCUGUGGGAGACAGUGUGAUUUUCACGGUAGGCCGUACCCAUAUCCGCAGCAGGUCUCCAAGGUGAACAGCCUCUAGUCCUAGAACAAUGUAGGUAAGGGAAGUCGGCAAAAUGGAUCCGUAACUUCGGAAAAGGAUUGGCUCUGAGGGCUGGGUCGGAUGGGCUGGCGUAAGAAGCUGUUCCGGUUUUGGUGAGGACUGGGCGAGGCUUUCGGGCUUUACUCGGACCAUGCGAGACCAGGCAGUAGACGACGUCAGCUGUGCUUGUCGUGUUUCGGCGCGGCAGCUUCGUCCGGCAACAAACAGCCAACUCAGAACUGGCACGGACUAGGGGAAUCCGACUGUCUAAUUAAAACAAAGCAUUGCGAUGGCUGUUGCUCGUGUUGACGCAAUGUGAUUUCUGCCAGUGCUCUGAAUGUCAAAGUGAAGAAAUUCAAUCAAGCGCGGGUAAACGGCGGGAGUGACUACGACUCUCUUAGACGGGCCGCUUGAUGAUGGUGUGCUGGACUGAGAGACAAACCUGAGCGUGGCGUGGGCAGACCAGCCUGCUGUUACUUGGUGGACAUGCAGGUUAGGCCACUGCCACCUCGAGAUGGUGAAACUAUGCUAUGU